UUCCGCGUGUUUGGCUGGACGCCCCAUCUUGCAAGAUUGUAAAUAAAUUCUUUUCUCCUCCAGAACCGAGAGAGCAUUUAUUCCCUUACAGGUACCACUUUAUUUCCGACAGGUUCAUAGCCAAAUCUGAACAGAUUUAUCCAGCCGAAAGAUGGUUGUUGGGCGUUGGCUAAAGCCGCACUGACACACAUGCAGUUUCUCUUAGCCUUUUUGAAAUACCGAAAAUAUUCUUGGAAGCACUUUUAUUGCUUUACAGACCCCAAGGGGCCCAAGAAUCCCAAACGGACAGAUAGAAUCAUGAAGCUCAUGGAGGGGAAAGGACUUCUCCAGAGGUCAGGAGUGGCUUCUUGGUGGACACCUGACCAGUGCCAGGAGCAUCCGAAAGCAGAGUUGAGACCCAAGAUAGACAGUUCCUUACUUAGGCUGCUAGUCCGUGACCAGGGCCUUCCGAGAAAGGCAGAAGGCAUUUCCCUCCAAGAAGACAGGUCAUAAUUGAGUUCUGGGAAAGACCUCACCAUCAGCACAGAUUUUAUGGACUGGACGUGAGUCAGCAAAGAAACCCUGGAGUGAAAAACAGACAUCAAGCGCUGCUGCUAAGGCAUAGGGUGGGCACCCUGACGUGUGUGAGCAGGCACUUGAGGAGGCUGUGUGUUUUUGCGUUUCGCUUCUGCCCCACUUAUAAACCAGCGAUUGUCACCACUUCUGUGCAGGCGUUAACAAUGCCAAUGCUCCGUUUUCCUCUGAGUAAAUAAUAGCCAUUUAUUAACUCCUUACUAUGUGGCUAACACUGUGCGAAUUAUAUUUUAAAUCCUCUCCACACCCCUUUGUGGUAACAAUUACUCUUAUUUUAUAGAUGAGGUGCCAGAGGCUCAAAAGCCUUGUCUAGGAAUGGUAUGAGGAAGGUUUCUCAUAGAUGAAGCAAUUAUGUGGUGGCAGUGGUGUCAUUUGACCUAUAAUCUGACCAAUUUUUAAGCUCCUGGUGUUAAACUUAAACUUGCUUCCUUUUGGGAUGCUGACUGGCUUACGCUGGUCUACCCUAAGCUGCUGAUCUUGGCUAGCUUCUGUAAUAGUCAAUAUUCUGUUUUUACUGUUGUUUUGUUAUAUAAAUCAGAGUGGUGUAACGCAACCCAUGCCCUAAAAUGCUGAUUUAUUCCCAACUCAACUAAUGUUUGGUAGAAAGAACAAGAUCAUAUGUUAACAUAUGGGCUACAUGACAGGUCUUUAACACACACACACACACACACACACACACACACAAAGUGACUUUUUUACUUAAGAAGAUUGAGGACAGUCAAAACUUCUUUACUUUUUUUUCUUCAACCUGGUAAUUUUUGUAACAUCCGUAGCUUGAGAUUUGGAAGGUCAUAUUGCACAUUUGGUACAGGCACCUGCAAAUCACAGAUGGUCACUUCUUGCAGGUAUCUCAGAAGGGGCCAGCUCAUUGCUUUGAGCUGAUAUAUAUAUUUUUUCUCUUAUAACAGUAUGAGUGAAGGAACCACCAGUUUGAUUUUUAUGGCAAAUAGGGAAGUGGAGAGUAGAUGAGAGAGAAGAGAGAGGUGGAGAACUUACGUCUUUUCAAGAUACCGGUUAGCAUCUUUCCUGUUUAAAGUCUGUAUGGGAGGACAUACAUUUGCAUAAACUAUCAUAGUAGCCACAGUGGGUUGUCUGGCAGAGGAGGAAAUCCCGAGGAACAAAAAACCGAACAGUAUUUUCAGGUCAAGGGCACACACAGACCCAAGACGCACAAAUCAGAAGGAUGCCAGUGAUGGUGCAGCAACAGACAAGAGGGCCAUCAUUAUUACAUCCUUUGGUCGUUGACUGUUGAAGAACAGCCAAAGGGACUCACCUGAUGGUAUUUUUGCUCCUCACUGAAGGCCACCAAGAUGACUGAGAUAAACAGAUUCAGCACUACAAACGUCAUGAGGACAAUGCAUGACCCAAUCAGGAAGGAGCCCAGAACUGGGCUAUAGUCCAAGACCUGCGAAGAAGAAAGCCAGAGCAUCCCCUGGUGCCCCAGCUCCUAGAGGCCACCGUCAGGGGGAAAACUAGUCCUUAGAGCUAGGCUGAGCUUGGAACCAGGGCAUCAUGUGUUGACGUGGCCAGUGGAUAUAUCCACCCACACUCCCCCAUCUCUGCCCCAGCUCAAGGAAGGAACUUCUAAAUUCAUCUCCGCAUCUCCUGGCACAGAGAGAGUGCUCUGUGCACAUAUGGGAAUUAACCAGAAAUUACCUUGGCCCUGUACCUUCCAGACGAUUGGGAUGGAAGGAAAAUUGGCACAUCCAAGCCAAGUCCAGAUGCAGAAAGGAAUCCUUUAUCAGGAGAAGGCACGGCGCAGAGCUGAUGUAAUCAUGUUCAUUUUGGGGUUCAACCUGAGCAGAUGCCAUAGCUUCACUGUUGACAGGAGUACCAAGAAGGCAACGAUGUAGCCAAGCACCGCAUCAACUGCUGCUGUCUCACUGAAACUGACCCCCCUGCAGGACCAGAGCACAGAGUGCUGGAUGUCACGCUCCGCCAGGAUAGCCCUCUUCACAAACACCACCAGGGCACUCCAGCUGGCCAGGAUGAUGGCCAACUCCAGAAGGUUCCACUUGCUGCCGAAAUAGCACCAUCCUUGCUUCCUCAUGAGCUUGCCCUGGGAAAGGAGCCCGAGGCUCUGCUGAAGGCUGUGCCAAAAGCCUCCCACCACUCACCCACCUGGCUGCUCUCCACCUGGUCAUGAAUGACCCCUGGCAGAGUGCUUCAGAGCCUCUCCCCAACCUUGUGCACAGACCCCAUCUGCUUCCAUCACUAACCCAGGCUGCAGGAUUUUGGAGUGCCACAGGGACCACAGAUGAGAACAAAAGAUGCUAACGAACCUCCACAAUCUACAUUCAGAGAACCCCCAGCUGUGGGGGCAGCUGCCUCUCUCAAGGGCAUUUUGGAAGGUCUCAGUUCACAGAAACUGAACCACUGCGCCUCUUCCUUCCCCAACCAGGAAGGACCACCCUUCUGGGUUCUCAAUUCCUGAGAGGAGCUGAAGUUGGAUUUCUGAGGCUACAGUGAGCAAGCUCAAUCAGCCAACACCAUCAGUAGGAGCAUCUCAGGGUUGAGGAGGCAAACACGUAAGGAGAAAUCUUCCGUCUCCUUUCUUCAGGUCCCAGCCCCAGAGAAGGAAGGAGUAGGAGAAGGAACAGGCACACCUCCACAUCCAUUUCUGGCCCAUGGAGCCACAAGCCCACCCCUUACCUGCACGAUCAUGUAGUAGAGGAGAAAGAGGAAAUAGGUGACCUCUGCUGCCACCACGAAGGGGUGCCAGCCAUCAGUGAAGGGGUACAGGCGGAGGUUCUGCAGGUCCGCUUGCAGAAAGAAGGUUCCUGGGAAGCAAAUCAUGUUCUGCUCAACCCCCGCCACCCUCCACUCAGCACCACCACUUCUGACUUGGAAGCCAUCAGGUCGAAAGACUCAAGUUCAGACCGUUUAGGUCAGGCUGGACUGAGCAGAGGAGCAUAUAAAUGGCCUUCAGACCCAAAGCCUCAAGCGACUGCAUGUCGAUAUAUGGUGGACACCAAAGGCAAAUGGACAGACCAGAAGGAACAAAGGGAGCUGCGAUGGAAGACCUGCUCCCUGCCGCUGCCCGCUGGUGCACAUGCAGUCACCUGCAGCCACUGCCACCCACGUCAAAUCAGCCUACUUCAAGGUGGCUUAUUUAAAGCUGCUUUGUCCAAGGGCAGUUCACCAAAGAGCAAGUCAUCUGUGACCAAUAGGCCUAAAAUUCAACCUUCUUUUUAAUCAUUUUUCAUCUAUUUGUGUUGUCUUUUUU